UGGGAGAGAAGGCCCCGCCCCCUAUUACACGUUUGGUGGGAGUAGAGCCCCCCCCCAGGAGGAAGGAGGUGGUCCCCCCCUCUGAAGGAGGCGCCCGCCCCACCAGGGAGAAGGACCCCGCGCCCCGAUCUCUCUGCGGAGAGCCCCGGUGGGGAAUUUUUGCCCAAAGGGCGGAAACCCUUACGGAAGGGACCCCCGCUGGAGAGAAGACGGCCCUUCGGGGUUGUAAACCUUUUUUCAGCCGAGGACGAAGUUGACGGUUACCUGCAGAAGAAGCGCCGGGUUAAUUACGUGCCAGCAGCCGCGGUAAUACGUAGGGCGCAAGCGUUGUCCGGAAUUAUUGGGCGUAAAGAGCUCGUAGGUGGCUGGUCGCGUCUGCCGUGAAAGCCCGCAGCUUAACUGCGGGUCUGCGGUGGAUACGGGCCGGCUAGAGGUAGGCAGGGGCAAGUGGAAUUCCUGGUGUAGCGGUGAAAUGCGCAGAUAUCAGGAGGAACACCGGUGGCGAAGGCGGCUUGCUGGGCCUUACCUGACGCUGAGGAGCGAAAGCGUGGGGAGCGAACAGGAUUAGAUACCCUGGUAGUCCACGCUGUAAACGUUGGGCGCUAGGUGUGGGGGUCUUCCACGAUCUCCGUGCCGGAGCUAACGCAUUAAGCGCCCCGCCUGGGGAGUACGGCCGCAAGGCUAAAACUCAAAGGAAUUGACGGGGGCCCGCACAAGCGGCGGAGCAUGUUGCUUAAUUCGACGCAACGCGAAGAACCUUACCAAGGUUUGACAUCACCCGGACAGGUCUAGAGAUAGAUCCUUCUUCGGACUGGGUGACAGGUGGUGCAUGGCUGUCGUCAGCUCGUGUCGUGAGAUGUUGGGUUAAGUCCCGCAACGAGCGCAACCCUUGCUCCAUGUUGCCAGCACGCCGGUUCUUCCGGUGGUGGGGACUCAUGGGGGACUGCCGGGGUCAACUCGGAGGAAGGUGGGGAUGACGUCAAGUCAUCAUGCCCCUUAUGUCUUGGGCUGCAAACAUGCUACAAUGGCCGGUACAGAGGGUUGCGAUACCGUGAGGUGGAGCGAAUCCCUAAAAGCCGGUCUCAGUUCGGAUUGGGGUCUGCAACUCGACCCCAUGAAGUCGGAGUCGCUAGUAAUCGCAGAUCAGCAAUGCUGCGGUGAAUACGUUCCCGGGCCUUGUACACACCGCCCGUCACGUCACGAAAGUCGGCAACACCCGAAGCCCGUGGCCCAACCAGCUUGCUGGGGGGAGCGGUCGAAGGUGGGGCUGGCGAUUGGGACGAAGUCGUAACAAGGUAGCCGUAG
rnacentral:rRNA from 1 species